CUGUGUACCUCGAAAAAGCCGUUUCACAAAGAUACGUAGUACCAAAAGGCAGUAAAAGCAGUUUAGCUUUUAAACUUAAUAUUAAAUGAUCUUCCCCUAAUUGAGCCCAAAGUUCAGAUAUUGGUUUGCUUUUAAAUAAUGUCUGAUAGCAGCUAUCCGAAACCAUAUCAAUAAGAACCUCAGGUUGCUAACUUUGUUACAUAUCACACACUGAGGACGUCCAUCAGCAAAUUCAGUGAAUCCCAUAUCUAAAUAUGACACAAUAUUUUCGUUUUUUGCUUUCUUUCCGAAUAUCUACAUCAGGUAUCGUAGAUUCUAAAGUAGAACUAUGUACAACAUGUUCCGAAUGUAUUCUAAGGAAUUAUUUUUACUACAAUUAUUGUUAUCUUUCUUCGACUGAGCAAUAGUUGUUGGCUGACUCUUUUCAGGUCUUAUGAAGCCCGUUUUAAACCACCGUUCCAUUUCAGUAAAAAUAUCUGGGUCGUUCGUACAUACGCGCAAUAAAUAGAUAAAAAAAUAAAAUAAUUGAAUCAAACAAAAUACAAACACGUCCGUCGUUUGUAA